GAUGAAGAACGUAGCGAAAUGCGAUAAGUAAUGUGAAUUGCAGAAUUCAGUGAAUCAUCGAAUCUUUGAACGCACAUUGCGCCCGUUAGCAUUCUAGCGGGCAUGCCUGUCCGAGCGUCAUUUCAACCCUCAGGGUCCCCGUUCAGGCGGGGAACCUGGUGUUGGGGAUCGGCCCGCCCCGCGCGGCGCCGUCCCCCAAAUUCAGUGGCGGUCUCGCUGCAGCCUCCCCUGCGUAGUAGUUACAACCUCGCAUCGGAGCUCAGCGCGGCCACGCCGUAAAACCCCCGACUUUCUGAACGUUGACCUCGGAUCAGGUAGGAAUACCCGCUGAACUUAAGCAUAUCAAUAAGCGGAGGA
rnacentral:misc_RNA from 1 species